ACGAACGCUGGCGGCUGCUUAACACAUGCAAGUCGAACGGAGUGGCGAACGGGAGAGUAACGCGUGAGAAACCUGCCUAUGACAGGGGGAUAGCCUCGGGAAACCGGGAUUAAUACCGCAUAGUAAUAGAUGGGCUCGCGUCUGAUUAGCUAGGUGGUUAGAUAACAGACACCCAAGGCGACGAUAAGGAGCCGGUCCGAGAGGAUGAACGGCCACAUUGGAACUGAGACACGGUCCAAACUCCUACGGGAGGCAGCAGUGGGGAAUAUUGCACAAUGGGGGAUACCCUGAUGCAGCGACGCCGCGUGAACGAAGAAGGUAUUCGUAUCGUAAAGUUCUGUCCUAUGGGAAGCAGUACCAUAGAAGAAAGCUCCGGCUAAAUACGUGCCAGCAGCCGCGGUAAUUC
rnacentral:rRNA from 1 species